AAAGUCGUAACAAGGUUUCCGUAGGUGAACCUGCGGAAGGAUCAUUAGUGAAUAUAGCGCGUCUCUUCGGAGAGCGUGACCUCCACUUCUAACUCUGUGCACUAUUUGGCGAGGUAGAGAAACGAAUCAUGUCGUCUCUCCUUGCGGCUCAUUUUAAACACUAGUUAAAGUAUGUAACGAAAUAUCGAAACUAAAAAAACUUUCAACAACGGAUCUCUUGGCUCUC
rnacentral:misc_RNA from 1 species